rnacentral:tRNA from 1 species
AAGAUUUUAAGUUAAUUAAACUAAUAACCUUCAAAGUUAUAAAUAAAAUAAUAUUUUUAAAUCUUA